rnacentral:rRNA from 1 species
CAGCCGCCACGGGAAUACGUAGGUGGCGAGCGUUGUCCGGAUUUAUUGGGCGUAAAGGGAGUGUAGGCGGUCUUUUAAGUCUGAUGUGAAAGCCCACGGCUCAACCGUGGAGGGUCAUUGGAAACUGGGAGACUUGAGUGCAGAAGAGGAGAGCGGAAUUCCAUGUGUAGCGGUGAAAUGCGUAGAUAUAUGGAGGAACACCAGUGGCGAAGGCGACUCUCUGGUCUGUAACUGACGCUGAGGCGCGAAAGCGUGGGGAGCAAACAGGAUUAGAUACCCCGGUAGUCCCUGUCUCUUAUAC